rnacentral:rRNA from 1 species
AGAGUUUGAUCCUGGCUCAGGAUGAACGCUAGCGACAGGCUUAACACAUGCAAGUCGAGGGGCAGCAUGGUUUGUAGUAAUACAGAUUGAUGGCGACCGGCGCACGGGUGAGUAACGCGUAUGCAACUUACCUAUCAGAGGGGGAUAGCCCGGCGAAAGUCGGAUUAAUACCCCAUAAAACAGGGGUCCCGCAUGGGAAUAUUUGUUAAAGAUUCAUCGCUGAUAGAUAGGCAUGCGUUCCAUUAGGCAGUUGGCGGGGUAACGGCCCACCAAACCGACGAUGGAUAGGGGUUCUGAGAGGAAGGUCCCCCACAUUGGUACUGAGACACGGACCAAACUCCUACGGGAGGCAGCAGUGAGGAAUAUUGGUCAAUGGCCGAGAGGCUGAACCAGCCAAGUCGCGUGAAGGAAGAAGGAUCUAUGGUUUGUAAACUUCUUUUAUAGGGGAAUAAAGUGGAGGACGUGUCCUUUUUUGUAUGUACCCUAUGAAUAAGCAUCGGCUAACUCCGUGCCAGCAGCCGCGGUAAUACGGAGGAUGCGAGCGUUAUCCGGAUUUAUUGGGUUUAAAGGGUGCGUAGGUGGUGAUUUAAGUCAGCGGUGAAAGUUUGUGGCUCAACCAUAAAAUUGCCGUUGAAACUGGGUUACUUGAGUGUGUUUGAGGUAGGCGGAAUGCGUGGUGUAGCGGUGAAAUGCAUAGAUAUCACGCAGAACUCCGAUUGCGAAGGCAGCUUACUAAACCAUAACUGACACUGAAGCACGAAAGCGUGGGGAUCAAACAGGAUUAGAUACCCUGGUAGUCCACGCAGUAAACGAUGAUUACUAGGAGUUUGCGAUACAAUGUAAGCUCUACAGCGAAAGCGUUAAGUAAUCCACCUGGGGAGUACGCCGGCAACGGUGAAACUCAAAGGAAUUGACGGGGGCCCGCACAAGCGGAGGAACAUGUGGUUUAAUUCGAUGAUACGCGAGGAACCUUACCCGGGCUUAAAUUGCAAAUGAAUUAUGGGGAAACCCAUACGCCGCAAGGCAUUUGUGAAGGUGCUGCAUGGUUGUCGUCAGCUCGUGCCGUGAGGUGUCGGCUUAAGUGCCAUAACGAGCGCAACCCUUAUCACUAGUUACUAACAGGUGAAGCUGAGGACUCUGGUGAGACUGCCAGCGUAAGCUGUGAGGAAGGUGGGGAUGACGUCAAAUCAGCACGGCCCUUACAUCCGGGGCGACACACGUGUUACAAUGGCAUGGACAAAGGGCAGCUACCUGGUGACAGGAUGCUAAUCUCCAAACCAUGUCUCAGUUCGGAUCGGAGUCUGCAACUCGACUCCGUGAAGCUGGAUUCGCUAGUAAUCGCGCAUCAGCCAUGGCGCGGUGAAUACGUUCCCGGGCCUUGUACACACCGCCCGUCAAGCCAUGGGAGCCGGGGGUACCUGAAGUGCGUAACCGCAAGGAGCGCCCUAGGGUAAAACUGGUGACUGGGGCUAAGUCGUAACAAGGUAGCCGUACCGGAAGGUGCGGCUG